rnacentral:rRNA from 1 species
GGUUAAGCGACUAAGCGUACACGGUGGAUGCCUAGGCAAUCAGAGGCGAUGAAGGACGUGCUAAUCUGCGAUAAGCGUCGGUAAGGUGAUAUGAACCGUUACAACCGACGAUUUCCGAAUGGGGAAACCCAGUGCAAUUCGUUGCACUAUCGUUUGAUGAAUACAUAGUCAAACGAAGCGAACCGGGGGAACUGAAACAUCUCAGUACCCCGAGGAAAAGAAAUCAACCGAGAUUCCCCUAGUAGCGGCGAGCGAACGGGGAGCAGCCCAGAGUCUUAAUCAGCAUUAGCAUCAGGAGAACGGUCUGGAAAGUCCGGCAGUAAAGGGUGAUAGCCCCGUAUCCGAAGGUGUUAGUGUUGUGAACUCGACGAGUAGGGCGGGACACGUGUUAUCCUGUCUGAAUAUGGGGGGACCAUCCUCCAAGGCUAAAUACUCCUGAUUGACCGAUAGUGAACCAGUACCGUGAGGGAAAGGCGAAAAGAACCCCGGCGAGGGGAGUGAAAUAGAACCUGAAACCGUGUACGUACAAGCAGUGGGAGCCUUGAUUUAUCAGGGUGACUGCGUACCUUUUGUAUAAUGGGUCAGCGACUUAUAUUCUGUAGCAAGGUUAACCGUAUAGGGGAGCCGUAGGGAAACCGAGUCUUAACUGGGCGAAUAAGUUGCAGGGUAUAGACCCGAAACCCGGUGAUCUAGCCAUGGGCAGGUUGAAGGUUGGGUAACACUAACUGGAGGACCGAACCGACUAAUGUUGAAAAAUUAGCGGAUGACUUGUGGCUGGGGGUGAAAGGCCAAUCAAACCGGGAGAUAGCUGGUUCUCCCCGAAAGCUAUUUAGGUAGCGCCUCGUGAACUCAUCUUCGGGGGUAGAGCACUGUUUCGACUAGGGGGUCAUCCCGACUUACCAACUCGAUGCAAACUACGAAUACCGAAGAAUGUUAUCACGGGAGACACACGGCGGGUGCUAACGUUCGUCGUGAAGAGGGAAACAACCCAGACCGCCAGCUAAGGUCCCAAAGUCAUAGUUAAGUGGGAAACGAAGUGGGAAGGCUCAGACAGCCAGGAUGUUGGCUUAGAAGCAGCCAUCAUUUAAAGAAAGCGUAAUAGCUCACUGGUCGAGUCGGCCUGCGCGGAAGAUGUAACGGGGCUAAACUAUGCACCGAAGCUGCGGCAGCGAUAUUUAGAUAUUGUUGGGUAGGGGAGCGUUCUGUAAGCCUGUGAAGGUGUGCUGUGAGGCAUGCUGGAGGUAUCAGAAGUGCGAAUGCUGACAUAAGUAACGAUAAUGCGGGUGAAAAACCCGCACGCCGGAAGACCAAGGGUUCCUGUCCAACGUUAAUCGGGGCAGGGUGAGUCGACCCCUAAGGCGAGGCAGAAAUGCGUAGUCGAUGGGAAACGGGUUAAUAUUCCCGUACUGGUGAUAAUUGCGAUGGGGGGACGGAGAAGGCUAGGCUAUCCGGGCGACGGUUGUCCCGGUUUAAGGAUGUAGGCAGGUGAAUUAGGCAAAUCCGGUUCACUACAUGCUGAGGUCCGAUGACGAGUCACUACGGUGAUGAAGUAGCUCAUGCCCCGCUUCCAGGAAAAGCCUCUAAGCUCUAGAUUAUCAUUAAUCGUACCCCAAACCGACACAGGUGGUCAGGUAGAGAAUACUCAGGCGCUUGAGAGAACUCGGGUGAAGGAACUAGGCAAAAUGGUGCCGUAACUUCGGGAGAAGGCACGCUGGCAUUAGGUGAAGUGAUUUACUCAUGGAGCUGAAGCCAGUCGCAGAUACCAGCUGGCUGCAACUGUUUAUUAAAAACACAGCACUGUGCAAACACGAAAGUGGACGUAUACGGUGUGACGCCUGCCCGGUGCUGGAAGGUUAAUUGAUGGGGUUAUCCGUAAGGAGAAGCUCUUGAUCGAAGCCCCAGUAAACGGCGGCCGUAACUAUAACGGUCCUAAGGUAGCGAAAUUCCUUGUCGGGUAAGUUCCGACCUGCACGAAUGGCGUAAUGAUGGCCAGGCUGUCUCCACCCGAGACUCAGUGAAAUUGAACUCGCUGUGAAGAUGCAGUGUACCCGCGGCAAGACGGAAAGACCCCGUGAACCUUUACUAUAGCUUGACACUGAACAUUGAGCCUUGAUGUGUAGGAUAGGUGGGAGGCUUUGAAGCGUGGACGCCAGUCUGCGUGGAGCCAACCUUGAAAUACCACCCUUUAAUGUUUGAUGUUCUAACGUUGCCCCAUUAUCUGGGGUGCGGACAGUGUCUGGUGGGUAGUUUGACUGGGGCGGUCUCCUCCCAAAGAGUAACGGAGGAGCACGAAGGUUGGCUAAGCAUGGUCGGACAUCAUGCGGUUAGUGCAAAGGCAUAAGCCAGCUUGACUGCGAGAGUGACGGCUCGAGCAGGUACGAAAGUAGGUCUUAGUGAUCCGGUGGUUCUGAAUGGAAGGGCCAUCGCUCAACGGAUAAAAGGUACUCCGGGGAUAACAGGCUGAUACCGCCCAAGAGUUCAUAUCGACGGCGGUGUUUGGCACCUCGAUGUCGGCUCAUCACAUCCUGGGGCUGAAGUAGGUCCCAAGGGUACGGCUGUUCGCCGUUUAAAGUGGUACGCGAGCUGGGUUUAGAACGUCGUGAGACAGUUCGGUCCCUAUCUGCCGUGGGCGUUGGAAGAUUGAAAGGGGCUGCUCCUAGUACGAGAGGACCGGAGUGGACGCACCACUGGUGUUCGGGUUGUCAUGCCAAUGGCAUUGCCCGGUAGCUAAGUGCGGAAGAGAUAACCGCUGAAAGCAUCUAAGCGGGAAACUUGCCUUGAGAUGAGUCUUCCCUGACUCUUUAAGGGUCCUAAAGGAACGUUUAAGACUAAGACGUUGAUAGGUUGGGUGUGUAAGCGUAGCGAUACGUUGAGCUAACCAAUACUAAUGAACCGUGAGGCUUAACCUG